AUCACAUGUUGAUCAUAUCAACAUGUUUCUAUACUACAUCUAAUGUAUAUAUUAAACAAUAGAUCAGAUCUAUUACCUUACAAGUUAGAUGUUCUAACCUUGUUGAUCCGGGCUUGAGGAUGAUGUUAUAAAUCACAUAUGCAUCCGAUCUCUAGGAGUCAUCCACACAAGCUCACGAAUCUCGAUCAGAAGUCCUGCUCCAGAAAAUCAGCACAGUAUGCUAGUACUGCACUGAUCCUUCUUUGAUGGUU
rnacentral:lncRNA from 1 species